rnacentral:rRNA from 1 species
CGGGGUGCUGCAGCAGUGAGGAAUAUUGCACAAUGGGGGGAACCCUGAUGCAGCAACGCCGCGUGGAGGAUGACGCAUUUCGGUGUGUAAACUCCUUUUAUAUGUCAAGAAAAUGACGGUGGCAUAUGAAUAAGCACCGGCUAACUCCGUGCCAGCAGCCGCGGUAAUACGGAGGGUGCAAGCGUUACUCGGAAUCACUGGGCGUAAAGGACGCGUAGGCGGGUUGGAAAGUCAGGUGUGAAAUCCUACAGCUUAACUGUAGAACUGCACUUGAAACUUCUAAUCUAGAGUAUGGGAGGGGGAGAUGGAAUUAGUGGUGUAGGGGUAAAAUCCGUAGAUAUCACUAGGAAUACCUAAAGCGAAGGCGAUCUCCUGGAACAUUACUGACGCUAAGGCGUGAAAGCGUGGGGAGCAAACAGGAUUAGGUACCCGCGUAGUC